rnacentral:rRNA from 1 species
ACGACUUGCAGUGGAGCCCGUGCUUCGGCUUCGGCCGUUUGUGCGGACCUGUGAUGUUCCGGCCGGUGCUCGACGGUGUCAUUAUUGGCACAGAGCGCAAAUUUUUGCGUUCGACCCGUUUCAAGCGCGUGUGGUCACCCUUUCCUCGGACAUGUGCCGUGAUCGGAGCCGUACGGCUGUUUGUUUCGGUGUUCUUGAACAGUCUCUGUUUGCCUGUCAGCGGCGCUAUUGCUUUGGGUACUUUCAGGACCCGUCUUGAAACACGGACCAAGGAGUCUAGCAUGUGCGCGAGUCAUUGGGACUAACGAAUCCUAAAGGCGUAAUGAAAGUAAAGCUGAGCCUAGCUCGGUCAGGGAAGAUGGGUGACUUGUCGCCUCGCACUCCCGGGGCGUCUCGUUCUCAUUGCGAGAUGAGGCGUACCUUGAGCGUACACGCUGGGA